GACGAACGCUGGCGGCGCGCUUUAUGCAUGCAAGUCGAAACGGACCUUCGGGUCAGUGGCGGACGGCUGAGUAACGCGUAGGCAAUCUGCCCAGUGGUGGGGGAUAACUCGCCGAAAGGUGAGCUAAAUACCGCAUAAGUUCGGUAGUUGAAAUCACCGCCGAGGAAAGCAGCAAUGCACCACUGGAGGAGCCUGCGUCCUAUCAGGUA
rnacentral:rRNA from 1 species